GAUGAACGCUGGCGGCGUGCCUAAUACAUGCAAGUCGAGCGAACGGACGAGGAGCUUGCUUUUUUGACGUUAGCGGCGGACGGGUGAGUAACACGUGGAUAACCUACCUAUAAGACUGGGAUAACUUCGGGAAACCGGAGCUAAUACCGGAUAAUAUUUUGAACCGCAUGGUUCAAUAGUGAAAUACGGCCUUGCUGUCACUUAUAGAUGGAUCUGCGCUGCAUUAGCUAGUUGGUAAGGUAACGGCUUACCAAGGCAACGAUGCGUAACCGACCUGAGAGGGUGAUCGGCCACACUGGAACUGAGACACGGUCCAGACUCCUACGGGAGGCAGCAGUAGGGAAUCUUCCGCAAUGGGCGAAAGCCUGACGGAGCAACGCCGCGUGAGUGAUGAAGGUCUUCGGAUCGUAAAACUCUGUUAUUAGGGAAGAACAUAUGUGUAAGUAACUGUGCACAUCUUGACGGUACCUAAUCAGAAAGCCACGGCUAACUACGUG
rnacentral:rRNA from 1 species